rnacentral:lncRNA from 1 species
GCGGAACUAUCUCAGGUAGGCUUCGGGAUGGAGGGAGCAGUUCUUCCUGCUUCUUGAUGGGGAAAGCAGAUAAAGGGUUUGGAACCACCCAGGGCCAGAGGGAAAGGAUUUGCCAAGAUUAGCGGCCACCAAGUAGAUGAAAAUGGAUCUCCCCAGCCCCUUACCCCUUGCCAGGGCCCUUUUCAUUCUAUUUUACUUAGAGCUUUAAAAAUAUGCCCAGUCAAGGAAGGGUGAAAUUCAGAAAGCAAUGAUUAAGGGUCAGUGCCUACUUUUGGAGAUAAGGAACCCAGCUAAACACCUUCAUAAUAAAAAUGGUUACGAGAUGUGUUGUCUAUACCAAUUGCUAUACACCAUUCCCCAGCACUGAUAUGUCAAAUACUCAGUAACUAGUAGACUCAGUCAGCUUCAACUCUUUGGGGCAGAUUCUCCCUAGUUCAUAAGUCAGAACAAGUUAUAAAUUCCUCCUCUGUUCAGUGUCUUUAAUGGACGCCCGUUGGCCUGGUGGUGAAGAAGGAACCUGCCUGCCUGCCUCUCUCGGAUGCCCAUCCAGGGAGAACAGCCGUCCCGUUUCUCAUCGGGUGGCUGCCCCACCCCGCACCCGUGCCAGCCCUGGCAGGUGUACUUGGCAGUUGCCUGUGCACGUGCACUCCACUCUCACUCACAGUCCUCUGUCGGAAGGCUUCUUUCUGAAAAGCUGCUUCUUAUCUCGCUUUGCUUUGAAACCUCUUCAAAGAGGAGUCCUGACCCAGGCAGUGCAGUGUGGGUGUAAGGUGGAGGUGUAGAAAAAGAGAAGAUGCAGGACGCAUAGCUUGUUGUCGGCAGCAAGGUGGGAAAUUCAUCUGAAAUGACAGAAAUCCUGGGUAAUGAAGAAUCUCUGAGGACUCAGGUGUCACAGCAGACUGCGAUUGGUAUGUGCACUUGAGCUAUGGCUUAAUAUCAAUACUUAGGCUCCCUUUUGAAUUGAAAAUGAGGCAAUUAGAAGUUACUGAGCCCCUUGUUUUGAAUUGCUGCUGGUCCCUUUGGGCUUUCCACAGCCCAGUUUUGUGCUUCUUAUUUUGAGAAGUCCCGUAGGUCGCCUUGCAAAUUUGAAAGUUCAUAAACUCUAUUUUGAAACGGGCUUCAUUCCAGAAGCAGGUUUUACUUUAUGAUUUUCCACUCCCUCUGGGGCUGCCUCCACAAAAAUGGCAAAACCCAAAGACUUCCUGAAGGCUAAUCUUUUUUCUGAGUCAUAUGAUUCUUUUCAGUUCUCAUCUGGAGAGGGUUCCUGAUAACAAUGGGUUUGGCUGUUGGUGAACUGGAGAAAAUCCUGUUGCUUUAGUGUUAACAAUGACUGGAAUUUUAGUGCCGUCUGGCUGUUUGCUUCAUGCAAAGGAAGCUGGCGCAGACUGGACUUGUGAGUGUCCAAUAGACUGUGUGGUAAAACCUUUGUCACCCCAACUGACUCAACAAACAGUUCUGAACGCAGAAACGCUGACCAGACCGUAGCGCACAAUUUGGUCAAUCUCGACUCAUAUCCAAAGAUUAAAGUGGAUUAAAAAGAUCCCAAGGAAUAAGUGGUUAAGUAUUAAAAACUCCAUGAAUCUGAAAAUUGAGGGGGGUGGAGAAAAAGAGGAAUCAGUGAAGUGAAGCAUUAGAAACACAAAACAAUGUGCAAUUAAUAAUACCUGUCUCAGAGGCAGGUUUAUUAGAAGGUGGAAACCACAGAAGAGCAAAUGAUCAAAGAAGACGCUGAAGGCCUCCACUCAUUACUCGCAUGCAUCGUGAAGUGUAAAACAAAUAGUGAUUAGAUUUCAGAGAUACUUUGCCUUCCAAUAUUUUUAAGCAUUUGGCUCUGUUGGGUAAGUGGUUUCCAAGUAUAAAUAGGAAUUCGCUUGAGCCUAAUGCAACUGAGUUUUUUGGCCAGACAUAGCCUUUCAGAUAUAACUUGGAUAAAUCACAGCCUUACAUUACACAGGUUUCUGGCUGAGCAGUAUUUAGGAGUUUAUGAGUCAAGUGCAAGACCUGGACUAGGAAUCAGGGAGCAAACUUCUGGCCUGCCUGAGCAGAUUGGAACAGGCUGGUUUAAUGCUGUGAGUCCCAGUUUCCUUAUUGACAAAUGAAAGUCUCAAUCCUCUACCUGUCUGCUUUCAAGGUUGUUGAGAAGGUACCAGAUGUCAUUCUGCACACAUAUGCACACACACAUGAAAGCACUUAUGAUCUACAAAGAGCAGGACCCAGCACCCUAUCCUUGGUCAGAAUAGAAGUAAUUCUAAUGCAUCGUGUUUAUGCCAUUAUUAUUAUCUUCAUUAUUCAAAUGAUGUCACUGAUGUCAUUAUGUCAAAAGACAUCAAUGCUAUAGGACAAGCAGGUAGAGAGCAAUGAAUCCCGAGUCUAAUUAGGUUUUGGGGUCCCAGAUUACAGGCUGCUAAGCACCAUUCUAGUAUGAGGGGAGGAAAUUGAAGUUGGACUUAAUCAGUAUGAGGUAGAAUCACCUUUUAAAACCUGAACACGAGCAUCAUAGUUUUCCUUAGAACAGCACUUCUGUGAGACAUUUGGAAAUGACCAAGGUGAAAGCUUGCAUACUGCAUACAGAUAGUCUGUUCAUUUAAAAAUAAUGAUUAGUACAAGUCCUGUGUGGUUUUUUUUUCUUGAAUAAAAAUUAGUUAAAGUCAGAUCA